rnacentral:rRNA from 1 species
CCUACGGGAGGCAGCAGUGGGGGAUAUUGCACAAUGGGGGAAACCCUGAUGCAGCAACGCCGCGUGAGUGAAGAAGUAUUUCGGUAUGUAAAGCUCUAUCAGCAGGGAAGAGAAUGACGGUACCUGACUAAGAAGCCCCGGCUAACUACGUGCCAGCAGCCGCGGUAAUACGUAGGGGGCGAGCGUUAUCCGGAUUUACUGGGUGGAAAGGGAGCGUAGACGGCUGGUCAAGUCUGAAGUGAAAGCCCGGGGCUUAACCCCGGAAGGGCAUUGGAAACUGAGCAGAUAGAGUUCUGGAGAGGUAAGCGGAAGUCCUAGUGUAGCGGUGAAAUGCUUAGAUAUUAGGAGGAACACCAGUGGCGAAGGCGGCUUACUGGACAGUAACUGACGUUGAGGCUCGAAAGCGUGGGGAGCAAACAGGAUUAGAUACCCGAGUAGUC